UUUUGUGAUAUAUAUAUAUAUAUAUAUAUAUAUAUAUACUUAGGUACAGUCUAAAGAAAACCCACCUCACCUACACAAAUAGAGUACAAAAACUUUCUUUAUAUGCAAUGAGCUGUACCCUUAAAUCUGCCACCUUUGUUGUUCACGAGCCUAUUUAUAGUUCUCUUUUCUUUCUCUCCAUAUAAACCUUCUCAUCUUAUAUUACUAAGUUUAAUGUCAUAGAAAACUCCAUUCAAGAAAACCUUUCAAAUGACUCAAAAAAAUCCUUUUUUAUUCCUUAAACUUAUCUAUGUUUACCUUGUUUUGUUAUCUUGUCUGAAUAGUGUAACGGGUAUUCGCGAGUUAUCCAGUACCAAUGCUAGGAUCGAGCUGUUGAGCCCAAAUAUUGGUGGAACAUAUGUGAUGAUGAAACCACAGAAAAGCCAUAAUAAAGGUCCUAUUUUUCAUGGCAAAGAAGUAAGGAAUUGUUUGCCUAAGGGAUUUAGACAUGCUUCUGCACCAAGUAGGUAUGUGAAUUAUCAUAUUUUAGGUUCAAUUGGAUGUUCACAAGGCAAGAAUUUCAAGAAACCAUAGAAUAGCUUGAAGUGAAUAAUAUGAAAUGGUAUUUGUGUACAUGCAAGAUUGCCGGUUUUUUGUUUUUUUAUGAGAGUGAUAUUAUUAUUUUUUUUACAUUACAAUAUUUUGUAAUGCUCUAGAAUUAAGAAAGAGGAUGAAGAUCUCAUUGUGCAAUUAUGCACUUUGUUUUUAGUUAUGUUUUUCUUUUCCUCUGUCUUGUUUGGCUUCUCUUAUCAGGAGAAGGGUGCAAGUAUCAUGCAAUUGGCAAUAUUUUGAAUCAUUUCCACCUAUUAUCUUUUGUGUGUAUACACUAGACAAUGAAAAUAAUUUUGACCAAAUUGUUCUUCAAUAAUAUGGUAAGAAAACUCCCACCUAUUAUCUUUUGUGUGUAUACACUAGACAAUGAAAAUAAUUUGAGAAACCAAAUUAUUUUUCAAUAAUAUGGUAAGAAUCAGAAUUAGAAUUGUAAACUAAUGGAUAUAAAGAGUCAUCGCGUGUAUUAUUGUUAAUACAUAUGACAUGUAAAAGAAAAUAGAACUACAAUUUGUUUCCAAAUAAACUUGAGCAAGAACAAGUUUUGUUUGUGAUUAUUUCCCUCUUUUCUUCAUUGUUCCUACUAACAAACACGAGACAAAUUGGAAUGGGACCACCAUACAUAGUGUAGCAGUGGGA
rnacentral:lncRNA from 1 species